UACGUAGGGGGCUAGCGUUGUCCGGAUUUAUUGGGCGUAAAGAGCGUGUAGGCGGCCAGGUAGGUCUGCUGUGAAAACUCGAGGCUCAACCUCGAGACGUCGGCGGAAACCAUCUGGCUAGAGUCCGGAAGAGGAGAGUGGAAUUCCUGGUGUAGCGGUGAAGUGCGCAGAUAUCAGGAAGAACACCCGUGGCGAAGGCGGCUCUCUGGGACGGUACUGACGCUGAAGCGCGAAAGCCAGGGGAGCAAACGGG
rnacentral:rRNA from 1 species